UACGUAGGGGGCAAGCGUUGUCCGGAUUUAUUGGGCGUAAAGAGCGUGUAGGCGGCCAAGCAGGUCAGCUGUGAAAACUCGAGGCUCAACCUCGAGACGUCGGUUGAAACCGCUUGGCUAGAGUCCGGAAGAGGAGAGUGGAAUUCCCGGUGUAGCGGUGAAAUGCGCAGAUAUCGGGAGGAACACCAGUGGCGAAGGCGGCACUCUGGGCCGGAACUGACGCUGAGGAGCGAAAGCGUGGGUAGCAAACAGG
rnacentral:rRNA from 1 species